UACGUAGGCAGCAAGCGUUGUUCGGAGUUACUGGGCGUAAAGGGUGCGUAGGCGGUUGUUUAAGUUUGGUGUGAAAUCUCCCGGCUCAACCGGGAGGGUGCGCCGAAUACUGAAUGACUAGAGUGCGGGAGAGGAGAGUGGAAUUCCUGGUGUAGCGGUGAAAUGCGUAGAUAUCAGGAGGAACACCGGUGGUGUAGACGGCUCUCUGGACCGUAACUGACGCUGAGGCACGAAAGCGUGGGUAGCAAACAGG
rnacentral:rRNA from 1 species